AGCUCGACUGUGGCUCUGCUGUUUCUGUAACAGUGAGACAGGAGUCCUCAGAUAUAUCUGUGUGGUGGAUCUGGCCUCGCUGUAUUCAGUCUGGAUUUAAUCUGAGGGAGUGCAUAAGAUCAGAACCUUUUUCGUCCAUCCUGGAACUCACCUGCUCAGACGUGCUGUUUCAGCCCAACAUCUCCGUGUCCGUGGACGGGGUCUCCGAGGCCCAGCAGCAGGGGUUUCAGGUGUCCAGGGGCUCCAGCUUUAACAUCAGCUGCUCCGUCCAGCCUCAGUAUCCAGGAGGCUCCUUCAAGCUCCGCUUCGCCUCCUCCGACUCAUCACGUGACUACACCCGGCCGGCUGUCAAUCACUCUGCCAGCUUCCCGUUUCCUGCUGCAGAGCCCGCCCACCACGGGACCUACAGCUGCGUUUACGGCGUCCGUGUUUUCUCUCGUGACUUCUCCUCUGAGAGCCGCCUGCUCUCCGUCACCGUCUCAGGCCGGGACGAGGCAGAAGGUGGACAGACGGGAGGACACUGAGCUGGAUCAUCAUAACCCGGGUGAGAGAGCGCCAAGUGAGUCUGAAGGAGCUCAGGGAGCUGAAUGACACCUCCACAGAGCUCCUCUCACCUCCUCAGAGCUCCUCAGAGCUCCUCUCACCUCCACAGAGCUCCUCUCACCU